rnacentral:rRNA from 1 species
UAAUACGAAGGGGGCUAGCGUUGCUCGGAAUCACUGGGCGUAAAGCGCACGUAGGCGGCUUUCUAAGUCAGGGGUGAAAUCCUGGAGCUCAACUCCAGAACUGCCUUUGAUACUGGAGAGCUUGAGUCCGGAAGAGGUGAGUGGAACUCCGAGUGUAGAGGUGAAAUUCGUAGAUAUUAGGAAGAACACCAGUGGCGAAGGCGGCUCACUGGCCCGGUACUGACGCUGAGGCGCGAAAGCGUGGGGAGCAAACAGGAUUAGAUACCCUGGUAGUCCACGCCGUAAACUAUGGGUGCUAGCCGUCGGUCGGCAUGCCGGUCGGUGGCGCAGCCAACGCAUUAAGCACCCCGCCUGGGGAGUACGGUCGCAAGAUUA